CAGUCGCCACGGUAAUACGUAGGGUGCAAGCGUUGUCCGGAAUUAUUGGGCGUAAAGAGCUCGUAGGCGGUUUGUCGCGUCUGCUGUGAAAUCUGGAGGCUCAACCCCCAGCCUGCAGUGGGUACGGGCAGACUAGAGUGCGGUAGGGGAGAUUGGAAUUCCUGGUGUAGCGGUGGAAUGCGCAGAUAUCAGGAGGAACACCGAUGGCGAAGGCAGAUCUCUGGGCCGUAACUGACGCUGAGGAGCGAAAGCAUGGGGAGCGAACAGGAUUAGAUACCCCAGUAGUCCCUGUCUCUUAUAC
rnacentral:rRNA from 1 species